rnacentral:misc_RNA from 1 species
GAUGAAGAACGCAGCGAAAUGCGAUAAGUAAUGUGAAUUGCAGAAUUCAGUGAAUCAUCGAAUCUUUGAACGCACAUUGCGCCCUCCGGUAUUCCGGAGGGCAUGCCUGUUCGAGCGUCAUUUCGACCCUCAAGCAUUGCUUGGUGUUGGGGCACCGCCUGUAAAAGGGCGGGCCCUGAAAUCUAGUGGCGAGCUCGCCAGGACCCCGAGCGUAGUAAUUAUAUUUCGUUCUGGAAGGCCCUGGCGGUGCCCUGCCGUUAAACCCCCAACUUCUGAAAAUUUGACCUCGGAUCAGGUAGGAAUACCCGCUGAACUUAAGCAUAUCAAUAAGCGGAGGA